UGGGGAAUAUUGCGCAAUGGGGGAAACCCUGACGCAGCAACGCCGCGUGAAGGAAGAAGGUCUUCGGAUUGUAAACUUCUUUGAUGUGGGACGAAAGAAAUGACGGUACCACAAAAACAAGCCACGGCUAACUACGUGCCAGCAGCCGCGGUAAUACGUAGGUGGCGAGCGUUGUCCGGAAUUACUGGGUGUAAAGGGCGUGUAGGCGGGGCGGUAAGUCAGAUGUGAAAUACCAGGGCUUAACUCUGGGGCUGCAUCUGAAACUGUCGUUCUUGAGUGCCGGAGAGGAAAGCGGAAUUCCCAGUGUAGCGGUGAAAUGCGUAGAUAUUGGGAGGAACACCAGUGGCGAAGGCGGCUUUCUGGACGGUAACUGACGCUGAGGCGCGAAAGCGUGGGGAGCAAACAGG
rnacentral:rRNA from 1 species